rnacentral:tRNA from 1 species
AAGGCUAUAAUUUAAGGGUAGAAUAAUUUCUUUUCUUUUUCUGGAAAUAUGUAGAAGUUCAAAUCUUCUUGGGCUUA